rnacentral:lncRNA from 1 species
AGAGCACUUCCGGGGCAGCGCGGCAUGGCGGCGGGAGGGCGGUGUCUGAAAGAGGACUCCCCGUUGGAAUUUGUACCGAGAAAACCCCAGAAUAUCGAGGAACAGAGCCUGAGUGGCCGAGAAAUUGAGUUGGGACUCAGGAGAACAAUUUGUGACUGUCACAAACUUCCUGUGUGGCCAUUGCAGGUUGGUGUUGUACAGCACAGAAGCAGCACGGUUGUGAAUACAUACACGAGUACUCAAGUUUGAGGACCCUUUUCUUCGGCAGGCGAUAAAAGACAACGCAAAUGCAAGUUUCAUGUCCCUCUCUGUUAUUAGAAGCCGCUCUCCUUGAGAACAGUAGAGCAGCAGGCUGUCUGCACUAUGGCUGCUGAACGGCAUUACUCCCACCUGAGAUCCCUGAGCCCACGCUGAUGGAGACUGUGCUGCACCACGGACUCUUCUUUGGAGCCAUUUUCCAGCUUCUCUGUGUGUUAGCCAUUAUCCUGCCAGUUUCCCAGUCCCGUAAGACAGUAAGUUGUGCUCUCUGAUCUUGAUACACA